rnacentral:misc_RNA from 1 species
AAGUCGUAACAAGGUUUCCGUAGGUGAACCUGCGGAAGGAUCAUUAACACGUAUCCAACGUUAAACCCCCCGUGAACUUUUAUUGCGAACCACGCCUUUGUUAGAAAGUAGCAAUCCCUGGUAAAUCAUCGCCGAACAGUUUGAGCGGUUGUAGCGCGAGGUAAGUGGCCUGGCAUUCCUCUGCUUGUUAGUGUCUGACAGUGUCACUAGCUCUGUACGAAUGGCGCAGUCACGAUCGCUAGAGGCCGACACGGCCGGCGACCGGGUCACCGGGCAUAGACCCGGGCCUGCGCUUAAUUGUGCGGCCACCAAACUCGAACAACUGUUAACAAUGGAUAUCUUGGUUCUC